AGUGAACGCUGCGGUAGGCCUAACACAUGCAAGUCGAACGGCAGCACAGGAGAGCUUGCUCUCUGGGUGGCGAGUGGCGGACGGGUGAGGAAUACAUCGGAAUCUACUCUGUCGUGGGGGAUAACGUAGGGAAACUUACGCUAAUACCGCAUACGACCUACGGGUGAAAGCAGGGGACCUUCGGCCUUGCGCGAUUGAAUGAGCCGAUGUCGGAUUAGCUAGUUGGCGGGGUAAAGGCCCACCAAGGCGACGAUCCGUAGCUGGUCUGAGAGGAUGAUCAGCCACACUGGAACUGAGACACGGUCCAGACUCCUACGGGAGGCAGCAGUGGGGAAUAUUGGACAAUGGGCGCAAGCCUGAUCCAGCCAUACCGCGUGGGUGAAGAAGGCCUUCGGGUUGUAAAGCCCUUUUGUUGGGAAAGAAAUCCAGCCGGCUAAUACCCGGUUGGGAUGACGGUACCCAAAGAAUAAGCACCGGCUAACUUCGUGCCAGCCGCCGCCGUAA
rnacentral:rRNA from 1 species